rnacentral:rRNA from 1 species
UACGGGGGGGGGCAAGCGUUGUUCGGAAUUACUGGGCGUAAAGGGCUCGUAGGCGGCCAACUAAGUCGGAUGUGAAAUCCCCAGGCUCAACCUGGGAACUGCAUCCGAUACUGGAUGGCUUGAAUCCGGGAGAGGGAUGCGGAAUUCCAGGUGUAGCGGUGAAAUGCGUAGAUAUCUGGAGGAACACCGGUGGCGAAGGCGGCAUCCUGGACGAUCACUGACGCUGAGACGCGAAAGCGUGGGGAGCAAACAGG